ACGGGAGGCAGCAGUGGGGAAUAUUGCACAAUGGGGGAAACCCUGAUGCAGCGACGCCGCGUGAGUGAAGAAGUAUUUCGGUAUGUAAAGCUCUAUCAGCAGGAAAGAAAAUGACGGUACCUGACUAAGAAGCCCCGGCUAACUACGUGCCAGCAGCCGCGGUAAUACGUAGGGGGCAAGCGUUAUCCGGAUUUACUGGGUGUAAAGGGGGCGUAGACGGCUUUGCAAGUCUGAAGUGAAAGCCCGGGGCUCAACCCCGGAACUGCUUUGGAAACUGUAGAGCUGGAGUGCAGGAGAGGUAAGUGGAAUUCCUAGUGUAGCGGUGAAAUGCGUAGAUAUUAGGAGGAACACCAGUGGCGAAGGCGGCUUACUGGACUGUAACUGACGUUGAGGCUCGAAGGCGUGGGGAGCAAACAGGAUUAGAUACCCUGGUA
rnacentral:rRNA from 1 species